ACGCUGCCCAGACUCACUACCCGCCCUCUCAGUCCCGCAGCCACGAGGAGGACGCUGCCCAGACUCACUACCCGCCGGCUCCCUCCCCCGCGUCCCUGUGGUGGUGGGCGAAGAUGACCUGUUGUGCAUCAGAUGCCUUUGAGACAUACAACUGGAGAUGUGAGAUAGGAAAUUGAAUGUAAAGACUGGAAGCUCGGCAGAGCAGAACUCUGAACAACGUGCCUCAGGAGUGCAAGUUGCUGAUGAAGUGUGUCGCAUUUUUUAUGACAUGAGAGUUCGUAAAUGCUCCACACCAGAAGAAAUCAAGAAAAGAACAAAGGCUGUCAUUUUUUUGUCUCAGUGCAGACAAAAAGUGCAUCAUGUAGAAGGCAAAGAGAUCUUGGUUGGAGAUGUUGGUGUAACUAUAAGUGAGCCUUUCAAGCAUUUUGUGGGAAUGCUUCCUGAAAAAGAUUGUUGCUAUGCUUUGUAUGAUGCAAGCUUUGAAACAAAAGAAUCCAGAAGAAUUGAUGUUUUCUUGUGGGCAUCAGAACUAGCACCUUUGAAAAGUAAAAUGAUCUAUACAAGCUCCAAGGAUGCAAUCAAAAAGAAAUUUCAAGGCAUAAAACAUGAAUGGCAAACAAACGGACCAGAAGAUCUCAAUCGGGCUUGUACUGCUGAAAAGUUAGGUGGAUCCUUUUUUUUUUUUUUUGAGAUGGAGUCUUGAUCUGUCGCCCAGGCUGGAGUGCAGUGACAGGAUCUCGGCUCACUGCAACCUCUGCCUCCCGGGUUCAAGUGAUUUUCCUGCCCAGCCUCCUGAGUAGCUGGGAUUAUAGCGUGCGCCACCACACCUGGCUAAUUUUUGUAUUCUUAGUAGAGUCAGGGUUUCACCAUAUUGGUCAGGCUGGUCUCGAACUCCUGACCUCGUGAUUUGCCCUCCUUGGCCUCCCAAAGUGCUGGGAUUACAGGCGUGAGCCAGCAUGCCUGGCCAGUGGAUCCUUAAUUGUAGCCUUUGAAGGAUGCCCUGUGUAGAUCAUCAUUCAGUGCCACAAAUUGAAAGCUUCCACGUUUAAUGUUAUCCUCUUGCUAUAUAAAUAAAGCAAAUAUAUUUAGGCCAGGGUCUCACUGA